rnacentral:ncRNA from 2 species
UCUUUCAAGCGCUAUAAGGGUUACCGGUUUUAUUGCCGGCAUUAAAAGGGAACCAUGUUAAAAUCAUGGGCUGACGUGCAACUGUGUGAUUAGUAAUAAGUUUAAUGUUAAAAGUUGAAAGUAAAAUUUAGCUAUACCAAACUUUACUUUCAACCUUCAACUCACAACUUUCAACUACAAAGCCAGACACCUGCCUGCAUAGCUUGACGAAA